rnacentral:lncRNA from 1 species
GACGGGGUUUCACCUUGUUAGCCAGGAUGGUCUCGAUCUCCUGACCUCGUGAUCCACCCGCCUCGGCCUCCCAAAGUGCUGGGAUUACAGGCGUGAGCCACCGCGCCCAGCCUGUAAGCCUAAAUUUUUGUGGCUGUGGGAUGGACAAGGACCCAGUCUUUAGCUGAACUAAGGAAAAGUCCUGCAACAAUAAAUUUCAGAAGUUUGAUCUUAACAGAUGAGGAGACUGAAGCCCACAGAGAUCUGAUAGAAAACAGCUGGAUGUGCUAACAGAGCAUCAGACUUGGAAUCAGGUGGAUCCUAGAUUGGCUACUUCCUAACCUCAGAAAAGUGACAUAAUGUCUAUGGUGAAGUCAUCCAUCUGAAACACAAUGCAGUGAAAUCCACUUUAAAUUUUGAUUGUGAAAGCUUUACUGAGGUUUAUUUGAUACACAAUGAUCGUAUCAUUAUGGCUACAAGAAAAGUAAUCAACAAAGUAUACACUUGGAUAAAUGUUGACAUAAGUAUAUACCUGUAAAACUAUCACUACAAUCAAGAUAAUGAACAUGUCCACGUGCUCCCAAAGUUUCUGCACAAUCCUUCCCAUCCUUCCUUGUUCUUGGAACUGCUAAUCAACUAUAGGCUGAAGUCCUGGCUGGAAUGCUUCUUGUAUCAUAUCAUUGGAGAUUGGAAGAAUUGAGAUGUUUCUUGCUGUGGUUGUCCAACCCAGCUCUAGUUUGUCAGCCAGUAUUCUGCAUGCACAAAAGUAGUGUUUAAUCUAAGAAGACUCGAGGCAAGAGAGUAAGUUAUCAUGGGUUGUCUUUCUGCUGUAAACAGGCAAUAAAAUAAGAACUCUGCUCACUAAUCACUUACCUGCCCCCCUCCUGGAUGAGACCCUGGCAAAAGCUAGAGCUACAAAGUAGAGGUGUAUCCAGCCUUUCCCAACGUACUUUAAUGUAACUACUACUACUAAUACCUUGUUAGAAAAUAAAAAUUCCAGGAUAAAUGCAAACCAAAAUGGAUUCUAGGACAGCAGGCACAAACCAGGACUCUGAGACAAAUCUGAAAGUACAGUCUACCUAGAUGGAAGGAUGAACACCCACCCGAGAGAAGGGUGCAGGGAAAGCAACAUCUUCAGGGAAACAGUUUCAGAUUCAGCUAGAAGCAGGCCCAGGUCUGGCUUCAGGCAACUGUCCCCAAGCCUGUUUCCCAGUGGACCAAUAAAUCUCCACCCUCAGACACAACUAGAGAUGCAGGCAUUUUCCAGGCACUGCUUGGCCUGGUCAGAAGAGUGGGCAGCACUUGGGCAUUCUUCCAUCGUGGCCUUUUUAGGGGUUGACUUUUUUAUAUUUUGCAGUGGCAGCAGCUCAGAAACAUUUUUCUGCUGUGAAGAUUAGCUUUCAUCUUUGCAUUGUGGUUUCUAGUUUGGAGGCCACAGAGAUAAUAAGGCUAAAGCCUUCUUCCUGUUGUCAGAAGUCUCCUUGCUUAGAAUAAACAAAGUCUCCAAGGGCACAGGGUCAUUGCAAGCAAAUUAGAGUGAUGCUCACCUGAUGGAAUGCAAAAGACCCACCCAAAAAUCUCCCACAAUGUUCUACUACCACAGCCGAUGCUUUGUGAUAACUUUGCCCUCGUAAAAUAUCGACAGCCUCUGGAAAGAUAGAAUAACCACUUCUUUUUCAUAUUUCACUGUGAACUACUUUGUCAGCCUUCUUUUCAUCAAUAUUAAAGAGGCGAGCACAUGGAGAAACCUGGAAUGAGCAUGGUUCAGAAGGAGGACUUACAGAUCAAAAGGGCAAAGACAGGGCAAAAGGGCAGACAGGUGUGCGGAGGCAGGGGGUGAGCCUGGUGAGAGCCAGGUGCCUGAGACAAGUUACCUACUGCGCAACUUUGUUAGGAGCAGUUCAACUGGAGGAAUCUGGCUGAGUAGCAUUUCUUUGUUUUUGCUCUUUGAAUUUUGGUCUUAGAAAUACUUUAGGUGAAAUUACUUGACAGUCCAUAUUUGUUGUCCCUGUGUCUGGUCUGGACUUGGCAGCAAAA